rnacentral:rRNA from 1 species
AUGGAGAACCUGGCGAUGCUGUGGGGGAUCAUCGGGCCGGGCGUCGCCGGCGCGCUCUUCGGCGCCGGCUGGUGGUUCUGGGUCGACGCCGUCGUCUGCAGCGCCGUCCAGGUCUCCUUCAUCCACUACCUGCCCGGGAUCUUCGCGUCGCUGGCCGCGCUCAUGUUCAAUUGCGUCGACAAGGAUGCCAUCGGGAACGACUACUACUCGUCCUACGGGGAUGAUUCCGAGUGGAGGGUGAAGCUUUGGCUUUUUGUCGCCUACGUCGUUUCAUUCGUCUGCCUUGCGGGAUCAGUGGGUUUGUUGGUGCAAGACGCCCUGACAGACAAGGGCCCUUCUGUGUGGACUGGUGUUGCCGGGGUUCUGCAAUGCGUUUUUGUGUUGAUAAGCGGGUUGACAUACUGGACGUGCCACACCGAGGAUUAA